AUACGUAGGUGACAAGCGUUAUCCGGAUUUACUGGGCGUAAAGGGCGUGUAGGCGGUCUUGCAAGUCAGAAGUGAAAUUCCUGAGCUCAACUCGGGCGCUGCUUCUGAAACUGCAGGACUUGAGUGCUGGAGGGGAUAGCGGAAUUCCUAGUGGAGCGGUAAAAUGCGCAGAUAUUAGGAAGAACACCGGUGGCGAAGGCGGCUAUCUGGACAGUAACUGACGCUGCGGCGCGAAAGCGUGGGGAGCAAACAGGAUUAGAUGCCCUGGUAGUCCACGCCGUAAACGAUGAAUACUAGGUGUAGGGGGUAUCGACUCCCUCUGUGCCGCAGUUAACACAAUAAGUAUUCCGCCUGGGGAGUACGGCCGCAAGGUUGAAACUCAAAUGAAUUGACGGGG
rnacentral:rRNA from 1 species